AACACUGAAAAUGAAGAUAACAUAUAAUUAUUCAAUUUUACAAAAAGAGAGAGAGGGAGAGAGAGAGAGAGAGAGAGAGAAAUAGUCCAAGGGCAGUCACAUGAGCGUGCUUUUUGGCAGGCCAACAGAACUGAGAUCAUAGCUUCUUCUGAAAAUAGUCUCCCCGGGAACUUUCCACUGAAGCCAAACAGUUAAAGCAAAAUCUAUAGAUGCGGCCGAGUUCAGGGAGAAUGUGACUUGCUUCCUUCUAUAAAAGGAGACCACUGGGAAUGAUGUGUUUCUAGAUUAUGUGCUUCAUGUUUCUCAAAGGACACAGAGCUUUCACACGGCUGCCGUGUAAACAUUUUGUUCUGAAUGCAACAGCCAUAGGACAGGGGGAGGAUCAGAGGCAACAUGAAGAAGAGAGAGAGAAGUGUGUGUCAGCAAACUGGGGCCUUAUUAUGCAAGAAUUUGCUUAAAAAAUGGAGAAUGAAAAGGGAGUCCUUAAUGGUAUGAUUCAAUAUCUGUUUCUCUUCUUUCUUUAUGAUUGAAAAAUGUCCAUUCCUUGGGAGGUAACUCUGUUUAUUUCCCCUCCAUA